rnacentral:rRNA from 1 species
UGGGGAAUAUUGGGCAAUGGGCGCAAGCCUGACCCAGCAACGCCGCGUGAGGGAAGAAGGUUUUCGGAUUGUAAACCUCUGUCCUUGGGGACGAAAAAAAUGACGGUACCCAAGGAGGAAGCUCCGGCUAACUACGUGCCAGCAGCCGCGGUAAUACGUAGGGAGCAAGCGUUGUCCGGAAUUACUGGGCGUAAAGGGUGCGUAGGCGGCAAGGCAAGUCAGAUGUGAAAUCCCCGGGCUUAACUCGGGGGGUGCAUUUGAAACUGCUUAGCUUGAGUGCAGGAGAGGAAAGCGGAAUUCCUAGUGUAGCGGUGAAAUGCGUAGAUAUUAGGAGGAACACCAGUGGCGAAGGCGGCUUUCUGGACUGUAACUGACGCUGAGGCAC